rnacentral:rRNA from 1 species
UAGCGUAGGGUGCAAGCCGUUGUCCGGAAUUGAUUGGGCGUAAAGAGCUUGUAGGCGGUUUGUCGCGUCUGCUGUGAAAUUUCGGGGCUCAACCUCGGGCCUGCAGUGGGUACGGGCAGACUAGAGUGCGGUAGGGGAGUCUGGAAUUCCUGGUGUAGCGGUGAAAUGCGCAGAUAUCAGGAGGAACACCGGUGGCGAAGGCGGGACUCUGGGCCGAUACUGACGCUGAGGAGCGAAAGCGUGGGGAGCAAACAGG